rnacentral:tRNA from 1 species
GGGCCGUUAGCUCAGCGGUUAGAGCACCUGCCUCUUAAGCAGGGUGUCGCUGGUUCGAAUCCAGCACGGCUCACCA